GGCAGUUAUAAGACCAUCUGGGGGGCAUCUUAGACCAGGUGGCCAGGGACAGCUUUUAAUACAGCUGGUCAGAUGAAAACAGGGCUGAGGUGUGCUAAGGACUAAGGACCCUGAGAGGUGGUUAGUGAGAGCUGAGAGGUGGUUAGUGAGAGGUGAGAGGUGGUUAGUGAGAGCUGAGAGGUGGUUAGUGAGAGCUGAGAGGUGGUUAGUGAGAGCUGUGGAACACAACCGGAGCAUCUCUUCAGGUGGUCUUCAAUUUCCACACAAGUACUGGCUGCUCUGGUGUCACUGUGACUUCCUCCUGCCGCAGCCUACAGACGGGAAGGGUCUAGAAUGGAGCUGCUUCAGGAGACUGCUAGGUUCCAUGCUGCAGGCUUGGUUUCCCAGGGCAGCUCCUGAUCACUUUUCUUGGGCUGAGGUUUUCUUUGUAAUUAAUGCUCUAAGGUGACAGAAACACCAACUGCCUAAAGCGUGCCAACACUUUGUUCUAACCAUUGGAAGUAUAUGACUUACAGCUUGUUUCACCUAUACAGUGAUAGGCUCAGUGCUGCCAACCCAUAGGACCUAAGGUUGAUCACCAGAAC
rnacentral:lncRNA from 1 species